rnacentral:rRNA from 1 species
GAUGAACGCUGGCGGCGUGCCUAAUACAUGCAAGUCGAGCGAACGGACGAGAAGCUUGCUUCUCUGAUGUUAGCGGCGGACGGGUGAGUAACACGUGGAUAACCUACCUAUAAGACUGGGAUAACUUCGGGAAACCGGAGCUAAUACCGGAUAAUAUUUUGAACCGCAUGGUUCAAAAGUGAAAGACUGUCUUGCUGUCACUUAUAGAUGGAUCCGCGCUGCAUUAGCUAGUUGGUAAGGUAACGGCUUACCAAGGCAACGAUGCAUAGCCGACCUGAGAGGGUGCUCGGCCACACUGGAACUGAGCCACGGUCCAGACUCCUACGGGAGGAAGCAGUAGGGAAUCUUACGCAAUGGGCGAAAGCCUGACGGAGCAACGCCGCGUGAGUGAUGAAGGUCUUCGGAUCGUAAAACUCUGUUAUUAGGGAAGAACAUAUGUGUAAGUAACUGUGCACAUCUUGACGGUACCUACUCAGAAAGCCACGGCUAACUACGUG